GUUUCUGUGGCUGGAUCAGGCACCGGAAGAGGCUCCCCAGCUGUAACUCUAGUGCAGUUACCUUCGGGCCAAACUAUACAUGUCCAGGGAGUAAUUCAGACACCACAGCCAUCGGUUAUUCAGUCAUCACAAAUACACACCGUUCAGGUAGCAGCAAUUGCAGAGACAGAUGAAUCUGCAGAAUCAGAAGGUGUAAUUGAUUCUCAUAAACGUAGAGAAAUCCUUUCACGAAGACCCUCUUAUAGGAAAAUACUGAAUGAACUGUCCUCUGAUGUGCCUGGUGUUCCCAAGAUUGAAGAAGAGAGAUCAGAGGAAGAAGGAACACCACCUAGUAUUGCUACCAUGGCAGUACCAACUAGCAUAUAUCAGACUAGCACGGGGCAAUACAGUAUGUAUGCUGCAAUUCGAUAUGAUACAGUGCUAGCUUUAAGUCUUCUCUAGUUAUAUUGAAGCAACUCAGGUUUUGGCAUUAAAUUGUUCCAUUUUAAAAUGCAUCAUUAAUACCUAAACUGUAUCAUAGAAUGAAAGUAUAUGUUAAAAAGUGAGAUCUUUGUAUUGACAGCUGUCAUAUAAUUUUGAAAAGUAAAAAUUUUGACUGCCGAAUAUAGAAGAAAAUUUUGGGGUAAAAAGGAGAAUUUUUCCUAUUUACAUGUUUAUAUUAAUCUCUAGUAAAACAUUGUUUUUGUUGUCUUUAUGAUGCAUGCAAACAUAAAUGUCUGUAUUUCAUUCUUGUUGGCUUUUGUUACCCACAAUUACAUACUAUUCUUACUAAUCUGAGAGUUUUCUAAAGUAUGUUUUCAAUGUUUCACUACUCUCUACUCUGUUAAUUUGUGCUACAGUUUUUCCUAAAAGAGAAUGGAAAAAUGAUUUAAUUUUUUAAACUGUAGCAAUUGGAUAGAUAAUUUUAUUUGAAAUUUUACACACUGAAAGCUCUAAAUAAACAGAUACAUUCACA
rnacentral:sRNA from 1 species